AUGGGGAACAUCCUGAAGUGCUUCAGGGGAGACGAAGAAGAAGACCACUACCCCUACUACCAUCCAGGCUCCAGGCCCCACUACCCCCAGCAGCAGCAGCAGCAGCAAGCUGAUGGCCAUGGAGUCGCCUCCCUGGCGCACGACCUCCUCAACUUUGAGAGCGCGUCCAUGGUUCCUGAAGGGCUCAAGCAGCAUGUUACGGCGUCCAAGAAAGCACAGAUUAAAUGGUACCAGAAUAUGUUGGAGGCAUAUAAGAAUGCCAGAACCCCACCGAGAACACCGGAAGAGGCUGCACAACUAGUUGUAUCAGCCCUAAACUGGAUCCAGAGAGCUGAUUUGGAGGGUAUCCUCGAGUUCUACAACUUCCCCAUCCCAUCGCUACCUGCAGCAUCCUCAAACCACCGUCCAUCCUCGCUGCCAGAGGGUGUGCAGUUUGUCUUGAACACUUUACCGGUUCAUAACCAAAACAUUGGAGAUGGCGAUGGCUUUACCGCUUAUGUUGCCACAACCGAUCCGAGGGAGUCUGGGAAUGUUCCUAUAGAAGUACAUGAGAUGGUGAUUGCGAGGACUGAAGCACGCAAUCGUAGGGAUUACAAGAGUGCCGAUGCACUUCAAAGUAGACUUAAAGAAGCUGGAUACAAGAUAAUCGUCUGUUCAGACGAAGAGAUCCUAGCAAGGAAAUACCGAAUCAGAAUGAGGGGAAUUGAUGCACCAGAGCUUAAGAUGACAUAUGGGAAGGAAUCAAAGAGUGCUUUGGUGAAGCUCAUUGGUGGGAAAAGAACCACAAUUCAUGUGUAUGGGCAGGACCAGUUUGAUCGCUACGUUGGUGAUGUCUAUUGCAAUGGUGUGUUCAUCCAGGAGAAAAUGCUGAAGAAUGGUCACGCAUGGCAUUUUACGACCUACGACAAGCGCCCAGAGUUUGCUAAAUGGGAGAGAGAGGCAAGAGCUGCACAGCGAGGGCUCUUUGCCUCACUCAACCCUGAGAAGCCGUGGGACUGGCGAAGAGAGCAGCGCAACGGUGGCAUUCAGGCAGAACCGCCAAAAACAAUUUUGCAGGGUAACAUACAUAAAAUUUCAGGAAGACUGAGUAAUGUAGGAAGCAGCAUAAGAGUAUGA
rnacentral:rRNA from 1 species